rnacentral:tRNA from 1 species
GCAGUGGUAGCUCAAUGGCAGAAUUCUCACCUUCCAUGUGGGAGACCCAGGAUUGAUUCCAGGCCUAUGCA